CAGGAGGUGGAGGUUGCAGUGAGCCGAGAUCAUGCCACUGCACUCCAGCCCGGUUCGGCUGGUGGAACUCAGCCUUGUGGCUAGGUGGAUAGGAAGAAAAGGGAAAUGGCAUAGGAAACAACUAGCCAGUUCCAGCCUCUCUUGCCAGACUCUGGGCUCAGUGCUUCGUCCUCAGCAUCUCAUUAAAGACUCAUAGUCACCCUUUGGGAUAGGGACUAUUCAACAGUCACCCACAGAUUUGCACAGCUGUCCAACUUGAGCCAGUGAUGAAUAAAGACAGAUAUGGUUGCUGUUCUUUCAUGGAGCUUACAUCCUAGGGGAGAAGUCAAUCCCUAAAUAAGGAAACUAAUAGAUAAAUAAUUUCAGAGAGUGAUACAUUCUAUGCAACACAUAUCAGAGUGGUGGUUUAGAGUGAGGGGUGCUAUUUUGGAUAGAGUGGGCAGGGCAGCUUUCUGCGAGGAGGUGACUAAAUU
rnacentral:lncRNA from 10 species